rnacentral:rRNA from 1 species
UACGAAGGGUGCAAGCGUUAAUCGGAAUUACUGGGCGUAAAGCGUGCGUAGGUGGUUGUUCAAGUCUGUCGUGAAAGCCCUGGGCGUCAACCUGGGAAGUUGCGAUGGAAACUAGGUCGACUUGAGUGCAGAAGAGGGAAGUGGAAUUCCACGUGUAGCGGUGAAAUGCGUAGAGAUAUGGAGGAACACCAGUGGCGAAGGCGGCUUCCUGGUCUGUAACUGACACUGAGGCGCGAAAGCGUGGGGAGGCAAACAGGAUUAGAUACCCU